rnacentral:rRNA from 1 species
AAUAUUGGACAAUGGGCGAAAGCCUGAUGCAGCAACGCCGCGUGAGGGAUGACGGCCUUCGGGUUGUAAACCUCUUUCAGUAGGGCAGAAGCGCAAGUGACGGUAUCUGCUGAAACAGCACCGGCUAACUACGUGCCCGCAGCCGCGGUAAUACGUAGGGUGCAAGCGUUGUCCGGAAUUAUUGGGCGUAAAGAGCUCGUAGGCGGCUGGUCGCGUCUGCCGUGAAAACCCAGGGCUCAACCCUGGGCGGGCGGUGGGUAAGGGAAGGAUAGAGUGGGGUAGGGGAGAUUGGAAUUCCUGGUGUAGCGGUGGAAUGCGCAGAUAUCAGGAGGAACACCGAUGGCGAAGGAAGAUCUCUGGGCCGUAACUGACGCUGAGGAGCGAAAGCAUGGGGAGCGAACA